AAUGAAAUUAUUUUCAUGAGUGUCUUAGAAUCGACAUAUGUUGGGGUUAGUUCUACGCUUUAGUGGUCAUAGUACUUGAUAUUUACUAAUCGAGUUUAGGUUGAAUGGAUGUAUAUGCGUAGAGUCAUUAGAGUAGUUCUUCAUUUGCAAUAUGAACCUUAGGAUGAAGAUGCAACUCAUACGAAGUAAUUAUGUGCAUGGUUAUGAAGUAUACUAAUCUAUCUAUGUGAUUAACUAGGUGGUUUUAGCUCUAAUUUAGGACGAUGUGUCAGAAUAGUUGAAGUACCAAGCACAUGGUGAUUGUAGAAGCCAAAUAGGAGCUAAAUUGAAUAUAUUGCUGUUUAGAGCUAUAGGUACAGUUUUAAUUGUGCAGCUAAUUUAACAAAGUAAACCAUGUUUUCU
rnacentral:lncRNA from 1 species